rnacentral:lncRNA from 1 species
CCCCCAUGGAUCUAGGUGAGGACAGGCGCUCCUGCUUUCCCGCCCAAAUGUUGUAUUUUCCAAGCCUACCCUUGCCGGCCACGCCCCCAACCUGGGCCUAUAAAAACCGCCCCCCGCAGGCCCUAGCGGGCAGACACACUGAAGUCGCUAGACAUUUGAGGAACACAUCCGGGGAAGAAGACACAGGUGGCUGGUCAUGGAGAGCCCGCUGGGGGAAGAGCACACAGACAGGCACCGGCAGGCCAUUGACCAGCGGGACAAGGUGGGCUCAAUGUCAUCACAAGGGUGCUUAAGAGGGAAAGAGGAAGCCAUGAGGGUCAGAGUCAAAGGAAGACUUGAAGAUACUACACUGCGGACUUUAAAGAUGAAGGAAGGGGCGAAAACCAAGAAUGUGGGAAGCCUCUAGAAGCUAGAGAAGGCAAGGAAACAAAUUUUCCACUAGAGCCUCCAGAAGGAACACAGCCCUGCUGACCCACUGUAAUGUCUGACCUCUAGAUGUGUAAGGGUAGUAAGACUGAAAGUCUCAGAAAGGCACUGUUAAAUUCUUAUUCCUCAACUAUGCAACUCAAAACUGGGGUCCUCAGCAGUGAGCGAGGGGUGAGAGAAGACACUGUAUAAACAUGGCACAUCCUCCUGGAAAGUCAACUUUACUCAAAGGUUCUUACACACAGUGACAGCUAGCAGAGUCUAAAAUGCUGACAUUAUGACUUAGAGAUGUGAUAAAGAGAAACAUCUAUUGCAUUUUCUGUUGGGAACAUGACCUAAUGGUGUGCUACCAUGCAGCUCUUUCCAGCUCCAUGUUCAGUGACUUCAUAUUG